AUUCUACUCCCUCCAUUGCACAAUACAUGCCUUCUAUUUGUCAAAAUAUAUAUGUAUCUAGACAUGUUUUAGUAUAUAGGUACAUCCAUUUUUGGACAAAUGGAAGUCAAGUAUUUUUGAACGGAGGGAGUACACA
rnacentral:pre_miRNA from 1 species